UUAAAUUCUUCCUUUCCUUGUAGGAAAAGUUUGCGCGUUACUUGCUUACCCAGAAAGGCUUGACAUUGCUCCUUUGACAAGGAGGCCCAGCAUCCUGAACCAUCCCACACCUUCCAAGACUCACCAAAACAAAACUAGGGAAGACCUGGCACAUCUGAUUGAUGGGCACAGGAAGAAAUAGUCUGCCUGGGAAUGACAAUCAUAAAGAACACAAGUAAAAAUAAAUACUGGUGAAGAUGAGGGGGAAAGGAAAUCCAUAUACAUUGUUGAUGAGAAGAUCUCUGACUCAAUGGGCAGUUGGCUGCCAUGGUGUGAGGUGCCCCACCACCCUGCUGAGACCACCCUGCAAAGGUGAACCGAGGCUUCCUGCCAACAGAGGGACCAGCUCACCAGCCACGUGAGAGCCAUCUUGGAGAUAGAGUCUCCAGCCCAGGUGAGCCUCCAGCUGACUCAGCACCAGCAGAGAACCAACUGCAACUUUAUGAAAAGUCUCCAGCCAGUCUCCCAGCUAAGCUGCUUCUGAAGUCCAGCUCCUCAGAAAUGGCAAAGACAA